UACGUAGGGAGCAAGCGUUGUCCGGAAUCAUUGGGCGUAAAGCGCGCGUAGGUGGUCCCCGUAAGUCCGCUGUGAAAGUCAAAGGCUCAACCUUUGAAAGCCGGUGGAUACUGUGGGACUAGAGUACGGAAGAGGGCGAGUGGAAUUCCUGGUGUAGCGGUGGAAUGCGCAGAUAUCAGGAGGAACACCAAUAGCGAAGGCAGCUCGCUGGGACGUUACUGACACUGAGGCGCGAAAGCGUGGGGAGCGAACAGG
rnacentral:rRNA from 1 species